GAUGAACGCUGGCGGCGUGCUUAACACAUGCAAGUCGAACGAUGAAGCUCAGCUUGCUGGGUGGAUUAGUGGCGAACGGGUGAGUAACACGUGAGUAACCUGCCCUUAACUCUGGGAUAAGCCUGGGAAACUGGGUCUAAUACCGGAUAGGAGCGUCUACCGCAUGGUGGGUGUUGGAAAGAUUUAUCGGUUUUGGAUGGACUCGCGGCCUAUCAGCUUGUUGGUGAGGUAAUGGCUCACCAAGGCGACGACGGGUAGCCGGCCUGAGAGGGUGACCGGCCACACUGGGACUGAGACACGGCCCAGACUCCUACGGGAGGCAGCAGUGGGGAAUAUUGCACAAUGGGCGCAAGCCUGAUGCAGCGACGCCGCGUGAGGGAUGACGGCCUUCGGGUUGUAAACCUCUUUCAGUAGGGAAGAAGCGAAAGUGACGGUACCUGCAGAAGAAGCACCGGCUAACUACGUG
rnacentral:rRNA from 1 species